ACACUUCACCAGAGCUCGGCACUGGGCCGUCUAAGCAAUCAGAGCCGCGCUAAACGCUGUAUGUUACUGUAAAUGCCCUCUCCACCCCUUGGGGCUGAGAUCAGUUUUCACGAGAGGAAGUUCUCUGUAAGCAUGGAACCAGCAGCAGUCUUCCUUUGAAUGCCUGCGUAUAUUCCAGAAGGUGGAUGAGGAAGAACGUGGACUGAAGCAAAUAUUUAUGUCCACAGAUUUCUGGAUGGCUUUUACAUUUUAGAAAUUAAAAAUGGGUUUUUAGAGAUAAAACAUACUGUGUGGAAGUGGAGACAAAUGCACUGUAAGGUCAUGAAAAUAUGAAACCACGUUCCCAUCACUGGGGAUGAUUUUAAACGCUUAUUUAGAAAACAAGCAAUGUGGAAUUGCAUGUUCUGUUCAAAUGGAAAAUAAUAAUGGGAGGU